GGUGCAAUCAUAAGAUGAAAACACAUUUGUGUUUUUUGGGUAGUGGACAGAACCAUUUGGUUUUGCCGUGAGCGUGUUUUAUAACGACUUCUCCUUCCACUGAGCACU
rfam:Cicer arietinum chromosome Ca2, whole genome shotgun sequence.